rnacentral:rRNA from 1 species
UUACACAUGCAGUCGAGCGGUACAGAGAUAGCUUGCUAUCUGCUGACGAGCGGCGGACGGGUGAGUAAUGCUUGGGAAUAUGCCUUAUGGUGGGGGACAACAGUUGGAAACGACUGCUAAUACCGCAUAACGUCUACGGACCAAAGGAGGGGAUUCUUCGGAACCUUUCGCCAUUUGAUUAGCCCAAGUGAGAUUAGCUAGUAGGUGAGGUAAGAGCUCACCUAGGCGACGAUCUCUAGCUGGUCUGAGAGGAUGAUCAGCCACACUGGGACUGAGACACGGCCCAGACUCCUACGGGAGGCAGCAGUGGGGAAUAUUGCACAAUGGGGGAAACCCUGAUGCAGCCAUGCCGCGUGUGUGAAGAAGGCCUUCGGGUUGUAAAGCACUUUCAGUUGUGAGGAAAGGGAUGUAGUUAAUAACUGCAUUCUGUGACGUUAACAACAGAAGAAGCACCGGCUAGCUUCGUGCCAGCAGCCGCGGUAAUACGAGGGGUGCAAGCGUUAAUCGGAAUUACUGGGCGUAAAGCGUUCGUAGGCGGUUAUUUAAGCAAGAUGUGAAAGCCCAGGGCUCAACCUUGGAACUGCAUUUUGAACUGGGUAACUAGAGUACUGUAGAGGGUGGUGGAAUUUCCAGUGUAGCGGUGAAAUGCGUAGAGAUUGGAAGGAACAUCAGUGGCGAACGCGGCCACCUGGACAGAUACUGACGCUGA